AACGCACAUUGCGCCCGCCAGUAUUCUGGCGGGCAUGCCUGUCCGAGCGUCAUUUCAACCCUCGAGCCCCCGGGCUUGGUGUUGGGGAUCGGCCGCACGCCGCUGCGGCCGGCCCCUAAAUGCAGUGGCGGCCUCGCCUCGCCUCCCUUGCGCAGUAGCAAAACCUCGCACUGGAGCGCGGCGCGGCCACGCCGUGAAACCCCAUCUCAUCAAGGUUGACCUCGGAUCAGGUAGGAAUACCCGCUGAACUUAA
rnacentral:misc_RNA from 1 species